AGGCAGUUUAUAGCCAAAUGAGAUAAAAGCAAAACAGAUUUCCUGUUACAUUUCCAGUGUAUGCACAUACAGUUCUUAACAAUUAUGGGCUCAUUUUCAUACUUCAGCCGACAGGUUACUCACACCAAUUCCUGAAAGAACACCAAUGGAUAUCACCCUGAUGAAAAUUUCACAACUGCAUUAAGCGUAUGAGAAGUUUGACUACAAAGUACUGCCAGUAACUGCAACACCAAGCCUGUGGGGGAUUUCUCAGAGUUUUCUUUGAAGACAUGGGUACCUCUGAGAACGUCGAGUAUGAAACAAACACUCAAACAGUGCUGAUCCUUUUGUUCUGCCUACUUGGCUUACUCUUAUUGCUCCUCUUAGUGUACAAGAAGUUGAACAGAGAUGCCAAUGGAGAAUAUACCAUCAAUAACAUGGUGUAUAAAGAAGGUGGAGUCAGGGACCGGGUGAGAGGUGUAGCAUUAGCUCUGGAGACACGUCUCGGGGUCCAGUUGUGGCCUCGCAAUGAUACUGAUGAAGAUGGAGAAGAAAUGCAGGACGUCCAUGAUGAGGAAAGAGGGGUAGAGGAGGGUAGUUGCAAGGGGAGUGAUAGCUAUGAAGAAUACCAGGAAGAGAACGGGGAGGAAGAGGGAGGCGAUGACACUUCAGAUGAUAACUCAAAUUCUGAGAAUUCUGAGGCAGGAGAAACUACCAGGCUAACAGAUCAACCAGUGGCAACGAGGGAGGAAAGGGAGGAUAAGGAGGUGAAAGGUGAAGCAAGUGGAGGGGCUGGGUUGCUGAUAGAUCUAACGCAGUUCUCUGGGGGUGCAACCUGGUCUGAAGACGGUGUCUGCAAAGACAGUGAUGUGACUGCACUGUGAGAGAAGCUGAACACAACAGGAAAAAGGAGCGAAGCUUUUGUUAUUGAGGGGGCCGUAAUUUAGAAAUACUGAGGUCAGGAUUUCAAGUACCAAAACCAAAUGCUGCCCAAUACUGCCUUUGUACUGAAUGCAAUGUUUUACAUAGCUUAAGGGCAUUCAGACUGCCUGAGAACUCUCAAGUAGCCAAAAUACACCCAUUAUUUGUUUUUGUUUUUUUCAUUACAAGGGCUGCAAAUGCACCACAAAUUCACAGUAAAAAAAACAGAAGACAAGGUAUCAUGUCCUCAAGUGGUAACUUUAAAAACUCACCUUGAAGUGACUGUCUUUAGAGGAAUCAGGAUUAAAAGACAAUUGAUGACUGAUGUUGUAAUUAUGCUGGAUUACACUGUAUUGGAUAUUGACUGUAUAAGCAUUUGCUUUGUUUUUGACUUGUUGCUUUAGCAUAUCACUUGCUGUAAAUUGCGGACUGCAUUUAUUUUUUAUUGUUUUUAAUGUUUUGGCUAAUAAACGUGAAAAUGAAUCAA